rnacentral:snRNA from 1 species
CAGUAUUAUAACUCUUAGAGAAUUUGUCUAGCAGGUUUUUCAGAAACCCUC